CGCACAUUGCGCCCGCCAGCAUUCUGGCGGGCAUGCCUGUUCGAGCGUCAUUUCAACCCUCGACCUCCCCUUGGGGAAGUCGGCGUUGGGGACCGGCAGUAUACCGCCGGCCCCGAAAUGGAGUGGCGGCCCGUCCGCGGCGACCUCUGCGUAGUAAUCCAACCUCGCACCGGAACCCCGACGUGGCCACGCCGUAAAACCCCCAACUUUCUGAACGUUGACCUCGGAUCAGGUAGGAAUACCCGCUGAACUUAA
rnacentral:misc_RNA from 1 species